UACAGAGGGUGCAAGCGUUAAUCGGAAUUACUGGGCGUAAAGCGCGCGUAGGUGGUUUGUUAAGUUGGAUGUGAAAGCCCCGGGCUUAACUCGGAACGGCCAAGUGAUACUGUCGCGCUAGAGUGCGGAAGGGGCAAUCAGAAUUCUUGGUGUAGCGGUGAAAUGCGUAGAUAUCAAGAGGAAUACCUGAGGUGAAGACGGGUUGCUAGGCCGACACUGAC
rnacentral:rRNA from 1 species